UUUUAUAUAAAUAAAUAUAUUAUUAUUUUAUUUAUACUAAUACUUAUGUGUUGUGUGCAAAACACUAUUGAAU
rnacentral:tRNA from 1 species